AAAUAAUCUCUUUUGACUCCACGUCUUAACAUCCAAGACACACUAAUACAAGGGGUAGGCUCCCAAGGCCUUGGGCAGCUCUGCCCCUAUUGCUUUGCAGAGGGUCAGCCCCCAUGGCCCCUUCUCCCUUUUAGAAUGGGAAUAUUUACCCAAUGCCUGUACUUUCAUUGUAUCUUGGAAGUAACUAACUUGUUUCUGAUUUUACAGGCUCAUACGCAGAAGGACUAGCCUUGUCUCAGAUGAUACUUUGGACUUUAGACUUUUGAGUUAAUGCUGAAAUGAGUUAAGACUUUGGGGGACUGUUGAGAAGGCAUAAUUCUAUUUUGCAAUAUGAAAAGGACAUGAGAUUUGGGACAGGCCAGUGGUGGAAUUAUAUGGUUUGAAUCUGUGUCCCUGCCCACAUCUCAUGGUGAAUUGUAGUCCACAGUGUUGGAGGUGGGACUUGGUGGGAGGUGAUUGGAUCAUGGGGACAAUUUGGAAUGGCUUAGCACUGUCCCACUUGGUUGCAAUAGUGACUUCUCCUGAGAUCUGGUUGUUUAAAAGUGUAUGGCGCCUCUCCCCUCUUUCUCUUCCUCCUGCUCUGGCCACAUAAGACAAGGCUGCUUCCCCUUUGCCUUCCACCAUGAUUGUAAAGUCUCCCUGAGGCCUCCCCAGAAGCAGAUGUUACCAUGCUUCCUGUACAGUCUGUGGAAUCAUGAACAAAUUAAACCUGUUUUCUUUGUAUAUUACAGAAUCUCAGGCAUUUAGCAGUGUGAGAAGUGACUAAUGCAAGCUGGAUUGCCAUGCUCUUGCCUGCUCCGACAUCCUAUUACUUCACUUUAAUAGCAAUAUCUCAAAUCUAUGCUGCCUAGUCCUUGUGCUAUGUUCUGUCAGUUUUCAAUGAAGAAGAGUAUGAUCUUCAAAACUACUGAACUUAAAAAAUGUGGUAAGUUGGGCCAUUUUCACAUUUUCUUCAGAAUCCACUAACAGCAGAGAUAUUAUUAAUUCAUCAUGUGAAAUGAAAGUUUUGGCAAAAAUAAAAUCCAUGAAACUUUAGAAAACAAAUGCUAAAGUUUAUUCAGAAUAUUAUUCCGAAAAAGACAAAGAUUUGGCAUUAGCUUAGCUAUUUGAAAUUAAAAAAAUAAAACCAACCUAAAUCUAUGCUGCUUGGUCCUUUUCCUGGCCCAGCAUUAUUACCAGUCUUCAGGAUAUCUUACUUGUGUCUAGAGUGUCUAGUUUUGAGGACUUGUGUCUAGAGUGAGGACAGAGCACCAGAUUUACCUAGAAAUCUCCUUCUCUGUCUGACUGUUCCUCUGCUCUGUGCUUUAGCACUACCUACCUUGCUACCUGAGAUCUAAUAUGCCUGGAACAAACUCAUUCAUUUUUCUUGUCAUGUUACAUUCAGUCACUUCUAUCAUCAGCAUCCCCUGUUAGAAUUUACAAAAUCCUCUUUUUUCACCAAAAAUUCUAAUUGUCACUUUGAUUAGCAUAAAACUAUAUUGCCAUAAUCUCUUUUUUAUUGGCUUCCCAGUGUCCAUUUGUUCUUUCUCCAAUAGUUUGUAUAUGACUUUCAGAUCACUGGAAAUGCCUUCUGCUCCUAAUAUGGCCAUUUACUUAGUGAACAUAUCCAACUUCCAAAAAGAAAAAAAAAAAAACACAUGGUUUAAAUUUCUCUAUUCUGUCAUUUUAA
rnacentral:lncRNA from 10 species